UACCCAGCGAUGGGGUGGCGAAUCUCGAAAGCCUAUCUCAGUUCGGAUUGGAGGCUGAAACCCGCCUCCAUGAAGUUGGAUUCGCUAGUAAUCGUGGAUCAGCAUGCCACGGUGAAUACGUUCCCGGGUCUUGUACACACCGCCCGUCACACCGUGGGAGCUGGUAACACCCGAAGUCAGUAGUCUAACCGCAAGGAGGACGCUGCCGAAGGUGGGAUUAGCGACUGGGGUGAAGUCGUAACAAGGUAUC
rnacentral:rRNA from 1 species